CGAAUGUACGGAUCUCGAGGCGAAUAGCGAAUGCACUGACGUGUUCGUCAUUCGCAUUUCGCACGAAUGUGUAAAGGCACCAUGAAAUAGUCAUUAUUGAUAUCUCAUUUAUUUGAAGCAUUUGUUAUAUAGAUAACUGAUAAUACAUCAUAAGUCUGUGUUAAUAGGAUUCAAGUCGUUCGUCAAUGCGGUUGCGCAGUGUUUUGUUUUUAACUAUAUUUUUAAAGCCAGUGAUAUCAUCAAUAAUGGAUUCCAAAGCAUUGUCCUCAUCUAUCGCCCAAUUUUCUGCUAAGUUUUGCAAUGAGUUGGAGAAGGGAAGUAGUGUAGUGGCUAGUCCACUAUCUGCUGAAUUUGUACUGGCACUGCUUGCAUUAGGAGCUAAUGAUCCUUCCCAUGAAGAAUUACUUCAAUCACUUGGACUUCCUAGCGAUGAUGCUGUA